rnacentral:lncRNA from 10 species
CCGCGUCGCGCUCCCAAGGCCCGGCGGCCGCGCCAGGUCCCCUCGGCGCCCCCCGUCCCCUCUGCCGGGCGCUCGCCCCCGCCUCCACCCUGGGAUCUGAGCCCGGGCCGUCUCCCCGCGGCGCCGCGCCUGACGGUCACUCUCUCUGACCUCCUGGGCCCAGUCCUGGGGCCAAGAGCCGCAUCCCCGGGGACCUUGGUAGAAAAAUAUGCGGCUCCUGUAGCCACCCAAGAUCUUCUGGAUGAGAACCCCUGCACCAGCAGACUGGGUGUCGUGGACCUCCAAGCGGUUUUGACGCUGCGGAAGCUUGAGAACCUCCGCUCUGGAGCCCAGACCCCGCUGGAGGGUGGACAGAGCGGGAGGGUGGACUGAGCCUCUCGGGGACAGCGACCCUGUCUUUGUUCCCUGAAAUAGCAGGGAGUCCUGCUGAUUAUUGACUGGUGAGACAGGGAAAAUGGUUCCUGCAGGCAGCCCUGGGGUACUUUAAUAAAAAUGGUCUUUCCUGGAUGAUGACCAGGAGUGACUUGGAAACUGACACAAAUUUCCUCAAAGGAUUGAUCCAUUUAGCAUCUGUUUAGAUUACAUCCCAAGUUGUUGGCAAUGGAGCUGGAAAAGCACUCUGACCCUCUAUUGUCAAUGGUCUCUGAGGGGCUCACAGCACCUGGCGUGGCUCACAUAUCCAGCAUUCUGCCAGGAACGUGGACCCUUGCUUCAUGGACGUCAUUUAUAGGCUGAGUGAAAAUCUAUCCCAGAAGGUUUGGGAUACAUUUGAAGAUACUUCCAACCUUCACUAAAGAUUAUUCCCAUUUCAUAGGAAGGAACUACGUCCCUUCUUAUUCCACCUAGAAAAAUGUGGAAUAAUUCAAAAGAUGUGACCAUAACUUUUUGUCUUUUUUCCAGAAUAUUUUAAAAUAUGUUUACAUAAUAUUUACAAUAAAAUUUAACACAUUCAUAACUCUGUAAUGUGUCGCAUCCCCUGAGACCCAAGUGUCUGCUGUUAACCUAGUGACAGGGAGGGCUAAGCGUGGUGUGUUAAGGAAUGUUGGCUCACUGCACAAUAUCUCCCACCAGAAGUCCAUUUUGCAGCCAACAACCUUUGAAUCACCCUGCCCUUGACUCAAGGGGAUGAUUCUGAUGGUGGAGUACGGAUCAGAGCGAGGGGAGAUUUGGGAUAGGCCGGCCAGGUCUCUCAAGUCCCAUCUUCCAGAUGCAGAAACUGAGGCCCGGGACCACACACCUGACACCAAGUGGACUAGGAUUCAGGCCGUUGACCAUAUUCUUUCAACUUCAGGAGCAACAGCACCUGGAGGACCCAAAUUUGCUGUCAUCCUCCACGAGGCCUCAGCAGUCUCCAACAUGGAAGGGCACUGAGCCAGCCUGGGGGUUUCCAGGGACCUUCCUGACUGAACACUGGAAAGACCCUUUCAUUCCAUCCUGUCCCCCAGGUGGGACCCCACGCCCUGAGGUGGAACAGAGGUGAAGAGGAAGGGGAGCGGCUCCUGUGCAUUUUAAUAGAAAUGAAUUCAAGUUCUCUCCUGAAGGACUCAGUUCCUUGGGCCCAAACUUCUCCAGUCUCUCAUGAAAGGAGAUGAACUGCUUCAGAUAAAGUGCUAAUCUUCAGCCUCAAAGUCCUCAGAAGGGUAAGAUUGCUAUGUAUCUGAAGAUGGGUGCAAUAGAAAAGCAAAUGUCCCAUAAGACCCCAGCUCUCUCCUCCUCCACUGAGAGCGCACACUGUCUACAGGGCAAGUCUCGUUGCUUGAGAAAGUUCUUUUAAUUUUUUCCAAUCCACCUGGCAAAGAGC